GUGUCAGCAGCCGCGGUAAUACCGGCAGCCCGAGUGAUGACCGCUAUUAUUGGGCCUAAAGCGUCCGUAGCUGGCCACGCAAGUCUAUCGGGAAAUCCGCGCGCUUAACGCGCAGGCGUCCGGUGGAAACUGCGUGGCUUGGGACCGGAAGACCAGAGGGGUACGUCCGGGGUAGGAGUGAAAUCCCGUAAUCCUGGACGGACCACCGGUGGCGAAAGCGCCUCUGGAAGACGGAUCCGACGGUGAGGGACGAAGGCCAGGGUCUCGAACCGGAUUAGAAACCCCUGUAGUCC
rnacentral:rRNA from 1 species